CAAGUCGAACGAUGAAGCUGGAGCUUGCUCUAGUGGAUUAGUGGCGAACGGGUGAGUAACACGUGAGCAAUCUGCCCUUGACUCUGGGAUAACUGCGGGGAACUGUAGCUAAUACCGGAUACGACACCUUGGGGCAUCCCGAGGUGUGGAAAGAAUUUCGGUCAAGGAUGAGCUCGCGGCCUAUCAGCUUGUUGGUGAGGUAAAAGCUCACCAAGGCGACGACGGGUAGCCGGCCUGAGAGGGUGACCGGCCACACUGGAACUGAGAUACGGUCCAGACUCCUACGGGAGGCAGCAGUGGGGAAUAUUGCACAAUGGGCGCAAGCCUGAUGCAGCAACGCCGCGUGAGGGAUGAAGGCCUUCGGGUUGUAAACCUCUUUUAUCAGGGAAGAAGCGAAAGUGACGGUACCUGAAGAAAAAGCACCGGCUAACUACGUGCCAGCAGCCGCGGUAAUACGUAGGGUGCAAGCGUUGUCCGGAAUUAUUGGGCGUAAAGAGCUCGUAGGCGGUUUGUCGCGUCUGCUGUGAAAAUCCAAGGCUCAACCUUGGACCUGCAGUGGGUACGGGCAGACUAGAGUGCGGUAGGGGAGAUGGGAAUUCCUGGUGUAGCGGUGGAAUGCGCAGAUAUCAGGAGGAACACCAAUGGCGAAGGCACAUCUCUGGGCCGUAACUGACGCUGAGGAGCGAAAGCGUGGGGGAGCGAACAGGAUUAGAUACCCUGGUAGUCCACGCCGUAAACGGUGGGUGCUAGUUGUGGGCCACAUUCCACGUGGUCCGUGACGAAGUUAACACAUUAAGCACCCCGCCUGGGGAGUACGGUCGCAAGACUAAAACUCAAAGGAAUUGACGG
rnacentral:rRNA from 1 species